GCAUACUUGCUUCGACAGUGCAUGUACUGAAAUUGGACCGAUACAGAGAAGAUUUGCGUGGCCCUUGAGCAAGGAUGAAGUACACUCAUGAAGCGUCCCAUACUUUU